rnacentral:rRNA from 1 species
CUUGACUGUAGCCUGGAAUUGGGUUUGGGCUUUUCUUGCGCAGCCUAGGUGGGAGGCUAUGAAGAUUUCCUUCCGGGGAAGUUGGAGCCAACAGUGAGAGACCACUCUGGAAAGGCUAGAAUCCUCAUGGUGAUCCUUGAAUCAGGACACUUGACAGUUUCAGGCGGGCAGUUUCUCUGGGGCGGAGACCUCAUAAAGGGUAACUGAGGUGCGCAAAGGUUCCCUCAGUCUGGACGGAAAUCAGACAUUGAGUGUAAAGGCAAAAGGGAGCUUGACUGCAAGACCUACAAGUCGAGCAGGAGCGAAAGCUGGCCUUAGUGAUCCGACGGUGCCGUGUGGAAGGGCCGUCGCUCAACGAAUAAAAGUUA